GGGCCUGUGGUGUAGUGGUUAACAUGCCUGCCUGUCACGCAGGAGAUCGCGGGUUCAAAUCCCGUCAGGCCCGCCA
rnacentral:tRNA from 1 species